rnacentral:misc_RNA from 1 species
UUUCCGUAGGUGAACCUGCGGAAGGAUCAUUGAAUCGAUCGAAUCCACACCGUGAACCCCCAAACCGUCUCCCUCGCGUGGCCUGCUCUCGGGCGAGCCGCCGAGCGUCGUCCCCGCCGUCGCGGCCGGACCUCGGUCCGGCGGGCGAGCGGGGUGACGGGUUGGCCGAGCGCGCGCUGUUUCAGGUGCGAGCUCGUGCCAGCCGGCCCUGUCCAACCCCACACCCCAAACACACCCCACACUGAAGCGAAGAGUGGCGAGGGCUCGUCCCUCCCCACCGACAAACCAAAGACAACUCUCAACAACGGAUAUCUUGGCUCCC